rnacentral:rRNA from 1 species
CGAACGAUGAAGCCCAGCUUGCUGGGUGGAUUAGUGGCGAACGGGUGAGUAACACGUGAGCAACCUGCCCCUGACUCUGGGAUAAGCGCUGGAAACGGCGUCUAAUACUGGAUAUGUCCCGUCACCGCAUGGUGUGCGGGUGGAAAGAUUUUUCGGUUGGGGAUGGGCUCGCGGCCUAUCAGCUUGUUGGUGAGGUAAUGGCUCACCAAGGCGUCGACGGGUAGCCGGCCUGAGAGGGUGACCGGCCACACUGGGACUGAGACACGGCCCAGACUCCUACGGGAGGCAGCAGUGGGGAAUAUUGCACAAUGGGCGGAAGCCUGAUGCAGCAACGCCGCGUGAGGGAUGACGGCCUUCGGGUUGUAAACCUCUUUUAGCAGGGAAGAAGCGAAAGUGACGGUACCUGCAGAAAAAGCACCGGCUAACUACGUGCCAGCAGCCGCGGUAAUACGUAGGGUGCAAGCGUUAUCCGGAAUUAUUGGGCGUAAAGAGCUCGUAGGCGGUCUGUCGCGUCUGCUGUGAAAUUCCGAGGCUCAACCUCGGGCUUGCAGUGGGUACGGGCAGACUAGAGUGCGGUAGGGGAGAUUGGAAUUCCUGGUGUAGCGGUGGAAUGCGCAGAUAUCAGGAGGAACACCGAUGGCGAAGGCAGAUCUCUGGGCCGUAACUGACGCUGAGGAGCGAAAGGGUGGGGAGCAAACAGGCUUAGAUACCCUGGUAGUCCACCCCGUAAACGUUGGGAACUAGUUGUGGGGUCCUUUCCACGGAUUCCGUGACGCAGCUAACGCAUUAAGUUCCCCGCCUGGGGAGUACGGCCGCAAGGCUAAAACUCAAAGGAAUUGACGGGGACCCGCACAAGCGGCGGAACAUGCGGAUUAAUUCGAUGCAACGCGAAGAACCUUACCAAGGCUUGA